AUGGAAAUAGUUAGACAGCAAAUAAAAGUGACAAUUAAGAUGCUUAAGAAACCCUCCAUCAUGAAAAGUGCUGUGAAUCUAUCUAGCAGGCACACUGCAGCAGGCUUGGAAGGGAGAAAUAACAGGAAAACUGAACUACAAAAAAAGCAGACAGAAAUGUACUACUCGACUUCUAAUGGUCCAAGAAACUGGAUAUAGCAUGGCAGAAAGUGACAUGAAGGUUUGUGAAAAAACCAGUUGCAUCUGGAAAGGUAUGUUCCACUGUACCAAGUACCCCAUGCACAAUGAAUGAUAAGAUAGAGCAGGCUGUAUCUACUCUGAGAAAAUCACCAGUUCCAGUAAAUGUUACAGAAUAGUACAAGGUGGCUGAGAUCCACUUGGAUCCACUCCAGGUGCGUGGAUCCACUUCCCUUACAGUUCCCUUACAGUUCCCGUACCCUCUGAUGAGAUGUAUCUCCACCUCUUCCACUGUGGUUAGGCGCUUUAUCUAUCACCUGGCUUGCCUUUGGGCCGCAUCAGACACAUCGUUGGCCCUGAAAACAUAAUUUUCCUUUGGCUUUCCAAUUUCAGAUGUGUGAAAUAAUGUAGGUUUUUGCUGCAGACUGGGCCCAGGGUAUCUAUUAGAUGGAGUGUUGGGUAUAUGAGAAUGCAAGACAUGCAGAGCUGGUGGGAUCUUGCCACACCUACCUGUAAGGAAAGGUAGGUGGAACAAUCCCUUGCUCUAGUCACGGUUUCAUUUAACUGGGAACUGAUUGAUUUCCUUCAAAAAUAUGAGAAUGAGUGAGCAUAUGGAGACUGUGAAUGAGUGAACUGUAAGCCAACUGGGACGUGAGGAGCUGAUCUGUAGAAUAAUACAGA
rnacentral:lncRNA from 1 species